GGGACGAACGCUGGCGGCGUGCUUAACACAUGCAAGUCGAGCGGUAAGGCCUUUCGGGGUACACGAGCGGCGAACGGGUGAGUAACACGUGGGUGAUCUGCCCUGCACUUCGGGAUAAGCCUGGGAAACUGGGUCUAAUACCGGAUAUGACCUCCUAUCGCAUGGUGGGUGGUGGAAAGAUUUAUCGGUGCAGGAUGGGCCCGCGGCCUAUCAGCUUGUUGGUGGGGUAAUGGCCUACCAAGGCGACGACGGGUAGCCGACCUGAGAGGGUGACCGGCCACACUGGGACUGAGACACGGCCCAGACUCCUACGGGAGGCAGCAGUGGGGAAUAUUGCACAAUGGGCGAAAGCCUGAUGCAGCGACGCCGCGUGAGGGAUGACGGCCUUCGGGUUGUAAACCGUCUUUCAGCAGGCGAAGCGCAAGUGACGGUACCUGCAGAAGAAGCACCGGCUAACUACGUGCCAGCAGCCGAC
rnacentral:rRNA from 1 species